GCCUUCGUGGUGCAACGGCAGCACGCUCGGCGUUUAUUCGAGAGGUCCAGGUUCGAAUCCUCACGAGAGCA
rnacentral:tRNA from 1 species